AUGGAUGGGAAGGUUAAAGUCAGCAAGUAAGCCCAGUAUCUUUGCAACAAUGGCUAAACUAUUGCUUGUAAACUCAGUUGAGUUUUUCGUGGCUAUCUUCAUAUAAUCAAGAACCGUGGAAUUGAGGUCUUGGAGAGAGUCCAAGCAGGUCUCUUGGUCAGUGAUUGUAGUGCUUAGCCAUGUCUUUAUAUCAUUGAUUUUAGCCGAGGACAACAGCUUAUCAUCUGAUCCAACUUCCAUGGAAGAUAUAGAGUCAUUGAGUCUAUCCA